rnacentral:rRNA from 1 species
UACGGAGGGUGCAAGCGUUGUUCGGAUUUACUGGGCGUAAAGCGCGCGCAGGCGGAUCUUCAAGUCAGAUGUGAAAUCUCGGGGCUCAACCUCGAAACUGCGUCUGAAACUGUUGAUCUAGAGUCUCAGAGGGGAUAGGGGAAUUUCACGUGUAGGGGUAAAAUCCGUAGAGAUGUGAAGGAACACCGGUGGCGAAGGCG